UCCGGUUUGUCACCGGCAGUCAUCCUAGAGUGCCCAGCUCAACCUGCUGGCAACUAAGAUCAAGGGUUGCGCUCGUUGCGGGACUUAACCCAACAUCUCACGACACGAGCUGACGACAACCAUGCACCACCUGUCUCCUCUGCCCCGAAGGGAAGCUCUAUCUCUAGAGCGGUCAGAGGGAUGUCAAGACCUGGUAAGGUUCUUCGCGUUGCUUCGAAUUAAACCACAUACUCCACUGCUUGUGCGGGUCCCCGUCAAUUCCUUUGAGUUUCAGUCUUGCGACCGUACUCCCCAGGCGGGGCACUUAAUGCGUUAGCUUCGGCACGGAGGGAGUCGACACCCCCCACACCUAGUGCCCAUCGUUUACGGCGUGGACUAC
rnacentral:misc_RNA from 1 species